GGCAUGUGUGGGCUUGCAGGAGCCAGGGCCAGUGGAGAACAGCAGGGUGGUGGGGUAGUGGGGUUCUGCUCAGGGAACAGGAGUCUGAGGGGCCGGGAGCACCCUUUCCGGGAAGCGAGUAGCGGGGACAUUGCCCCUGCCUUGAAGGGCACAGGGAUGGGAUGCGGUACUUACAGCUUUGGAAGGUGACAGAGAAUGUGUAGAAGACUCGGGGAGGGGCUGGUGGCAGGAGGCUGCUCGCUCUGCUCGAGCCUGGAAGGCAGGACAGAGACAGGGCUCUUCAGCCAGGAUGGGCAAGAGCAGUCACACAGCCGGGGUAGAGGAGGCAUGGGAGACCCGCUCAGAGGGAUCAGGAUCGCAAGCUGGCAGACACCAGGCUGUGUAGGCCCAGUGGGGUCUGGACUCUACUGGGGGUAGUGGGGAGGCCGAGGAAGGGAGUGCAGGGCCAGACAGAGUUCCUGAUGCCACAGCUGCCCUAUGACUUUUGUCGGUCCCUUCCUCAUUUUUUUUUUAGGUUUGUUUAUUUAUUUUGAGAGAGAGAGAGAGAGAGAGAGAGAGAGAGAGAGCAUGCGGGAGGGGCAGAGAGAGAAGGAGAGAGAGAAUCCCAAGCUGGCUCUGCACUGUCAGCACAGAGACUGGUGAGGGAUGCGAACUCACAACCAUGAGAUCAUGACCAAGCCAAAAUCAAGAGUCAGACACUAACCAACUGAGCCACGCAGGCGCCCCAGUCCUUUCCUCCCUUAAAAAAAAUAUCAAAAAUCAUAUUUUACUACUGCCUUGCUAUCUAGGCAAACAUAAAUCCAGGCUCCAUUCAUUAUUACCUAUUCAUUAUAACUUUAUUGAUUUUUUAAUUAAUUUGUUUAUGUUUAUUCAUUUUUUGAGAGAGAGAGAGAGAGAGAGGCAGAGAGAGAGAGAGAGAGGGAGACACAGAAUCUGAAACAGGCUCCAGGCUCUGAAUUGUCAGCACAGACCCCAAUGCGAGGAUGCAGCCCACGAAACUGAGACCAUGACCUGAGCUGAAGUCAGAUGCUUAACCGACUGAGCCAUCCACGCACCCCUCAAUUUUUUCCUUCUGAUUUUACAAGGGCCUGCUUGGCGAAGAAGUGGGGAAUUUACUGGGAAGAUGGAGAAACACUCCACCUCACACAUUCCCAUAGAGCAUCUGGGAGGCGCGGCGGGACAGGUGUCCUUGUUUCGUUUGUUAACAGUCAGUUGCCAGCUUUGGGUUUUCCAACUGAGAGGUGCCCAUCCUUGGACCACACUCAGAGGGUUCUCUUGAAGUCCUUUUCAACUGGCCUGACAGGAAAGAACACAGUGCUCCCCUUUGGGGGUUGGGGACCCAACACCCCAACACUUCCCUCAAAGCCUGAGUUCCAGGAUCCAGCCAGAUCCACCAGCAGGGAGAUCAUCACGAUGUACCCUUUAAAUACCUCACAAAUUUGUCAGUUAUACAUCAGCAAAGUUAGAAGAAAGAAGAAGAAAUGAAUGAAUCGGUACAUGGGAUAUGUGGAAUGCUCAUGGGAUCCUCCCUCCCCGUAGCUGGCCUCCUUACCAUCACAUGGCAGGCAGGACUCUAUGUCUCCCACAGACAUGAAGAAAUGUCUUCUGUGUCCCAAGGAGCAGCACCCAAGCCAGGCCAGAGUCCACUGCCUGCCCAGGAUGGACACCUUCCUGGUCUUUGACGAGCCCCUGGGGUUGAUGCUGACCUCAGUGAUGCUCACGUUGGCCAGCCUGACCAUGUUAUUCCUAGUGAUGUCCCUGAGGCGUCGGGACAUGCCCGUGAUCAGGGCCAACGACAGGGCUCUCAGCUGCAUGCUUCUCACCUCCCUAACUCUGCCCCUCUGCCCCUUGCUCUUCCUCAGCCGUCCCACCCCUGCCACCUUCCUUCUCCACCAGACAACCUUUGCUGUCAUGUUCACCAUGGCCAUUUCUCCAUCUUGGCCAGACUGUGGUCCUGGCCUUCAGAGUCACCGGGCCUGGCAACAGGGCUUCAGGUAUACUGUGCCUCCACCCGGGUUGUCCUCAUCACCUGAUGAUGCUGGUAUUUCUCUGUGGGGUCCGGCUGGGCAACUUCCUACCGUUCCCUGACAGGGACAGCCUCAGAGUCCAGCCACGUCGCCAGGGGGCACUGUGCUGACAGCUCAGAGCCUGGAGCCUGCUUCGGAUCUGUGUCUCCCAUUCCCUCUGCCCCUCCCCCACCUCUCAAAAAUAAAUAAACAUUAAAAAAAAUAUGCUGGACG